GCUGGGUGUGGUGGCGCACGCCUGUAAUCCCAGCUACUCUGGAGGCUGAGGCAGGAGAAUCACUUGAACCCGGGAGGUGGAGGUUGCAGUGACCCGAGAUCGCGCCACUGAACUCCAGCCUGGGCGACAGAGUGAGACUUGGUCUCCA
ensembl:misc_RNA Metazoa_SRP Metazoan signal recognition particle RNA